rnacentral:lncRNA from 1 species
GCAGAGACUGCCACUGACCUCGACCAGCAGUUUCAGUGGAAUGGGUGUCCCUGUGCCACCCAGGCUGGAGUGCAGUGUUAUGAUUUCACCUCACUGCAACCUCUACCUCCCGGAGUUCUAGCGAUCCUCCCACCUCAGCCUCCUGAGUAGCUGGAAUUACAGGCAUGCAUCACCAUGCCCAGCUAAUUUCUUGUAUUUUUAGUAGAGAUGGGAUUUCGCUAUGUUGGCCAGGCUGGUCUCGAACUCUUGACCUCAGGUGAUUGGCCCACCUCGGCCUCCCAAAGUGCUGGGAUUACAGGAGUGAGCUACUGAGCCCGGCCUGAUCUACAUUUUGAUUGCGCUGUUGGUUAUACAGGCCCAUGGGAAAGAUAACUACAACACUGUUUAACAACAGAGACAUUUGA